GAAUAGCAUCUCGGAAAGUUUUUGUAAGGAUCCCAUGACAUUUAUCACAAGAAGCACUAAACACAGUGUCUUGCAGACAAUGACCUUGAGGUCCAUAGAGUCAUUAUUAUUGCCACUUAAUCAUCCUGAUAGCCAGUCUCUGAAACCAAGCUUUAAGUCAAAUGACAGUGAUGGAUAUUAAAACAUAAUGUCCCAAGUGAGUUCCAAGAGGCACGUCACCUACGCUGCAGGAGAUACUUCCACUGGAAACUAUACUUCACUCAUCCUGUCUUUUGCUUUUCCAGUGGGACAUUUCUGCUGAGUUCUCAGUAGCAGAAAACCAAAGGGAUACAGGUUGAUAUUUGUAUUUGUGCCCAGCUGCUUUGACCUGCUUACUCUAAGAAUUAGAGGGAUGAAACUCUAGGAAUUAGACCUUCAUGGAAGCUGGUCUUAUGUCAUUUAACAAUGGUAGGGCAAGUUAAGGGAUGGUUUUCAUGAAAUAAUUCAGAAAAAUUCCUGUUUUCUUCAGCAGGAAACACUCUGGCCCCAGAAAGAAGAUGUUCAUAUUGCAACCUAGCUAUGUUGUUAAUAUUGUCAUACAUUUGAAAGUGUUAUUUUUCAAUUUCCCCAUGAUGCUUUUCUUAUACUAAAUAGUAUUCUCCCUACUCACCCUGCACAGGCUUUGGAGUAUAACAAUGAACUACUCACUGUAAACAAUUAAGAAAAUACAGAGAAGUAUAAAGAAGAAAAAUAACCACCCAUGAAUAUGUACAAUUAAGAUUUUGUUAUAGAUUCAUUUUUCAACAAUUAAUUCAUGUGCCUACCCUGUGCCCUCGUGAUUUUUCACUCUGUUAUACAUAUGUGUAUAUUUACAUAUUUAAUUUAAAUUAAAAAACUGGUAUGGCAGUGUUUAAUUUCAUAUCCUCUCUUUUUCAUUUAAGCCAGAGGCUCACAGGAUCAGCUUUUGACAAUAUCAUUUUUAGGACGUGCAUAACAAUUCAUCAGGUAUUCAGUUUCAAGGAUCUCACUCAGAGCUGGCCCUCUGUGAAUGUUGCUGAUAGGUGCCUGACUGCACAGAGCUGAUGGUGACAAAGGUAAACACCACAUUAAACACACACACACACACACACACACACACACACAGAGCAGACUUUUACUGGAGCCAAAUCUUCCCUAUGGUGGAAUAUACCUGCUGUAUUUCCAUUGAAAAUGCAACAUGUUGGUUGGUGUGAAAACUGAUGUCAGGAAAUGCCCCCAAGAGAACAAAGCAUGUAUUAGGUGAUAAUGGAUGUUAUUACUGGAAGCAACAUUUGUCUCCUCGUUUUUUUUUUUUUUUUUUCCUUCCUGACUCUCAUUCAACCAUAGUAAAUUUUAAUAUGUGUGUCAGGUUUCCCGCAAUUUAUAUAAAAUGAAACUCUUUGGAAAAGAAAACACCCGAGUGUCCAUAUGAUUUCAUGCUGCAGUCUCAGCUUAGAUCUAAAGCUAAUGUCAGAUUCUCGUUCCUUCUCCUAGGGAGAUGUCAACAGAAUAUGCUGGUUCAGAAUGAAUGUGUCCCUGUGACUGGUAUUUCUGAUGGACCUGGCUGUGCUUCUGCUCUCAGAAAUCACCCCCUUCUGGGAUCACAAGAAAAAUAGGCCCAUCUUUUAAGACAGAAAUAAUUUUUGCUUCCCUAAGCACUGUUUCUCAAAUUUGUUUUUAGGUUUAAAAUCUAUUGGUGAAUCUUCGUGCCAUAUCUUAUUAUGCAGAAAAAUCUAAUGUGUGCUGGUUAGG
rnacentral:lncRNA from 1 species